GACUAAUUGAUAAGAUGAAGAGUCAGAAAUUGCCAAGACCAUAUGGUAAUCACUCAAGAGCUCUGGAGGAAAACAAAUAUGCAAUUAUGGAGCUACUAUACUGUGUAACCCGUCACUUAAAUCAGUCUCCCUGCAGGAGGGAGGGAAGAUGGUAAAUGUGACAACAAUUCCUGAGAAGGUCUCCAGGAGUGGAGAACUGGAAACCGUCACACCGGAGUCUACUGAGCAAAUUAGAAGCUCUGGCCUCAAACUGCUCUGAGUAUGUGCUGUGAGAGAGCCCUGUGGGCAAUGAAGACAGUAGCUGAAGCAAUUACUAAAGCAUUAGUGACUACCCUGGAAGCUCUUGGAAGGCAGGCAAGAUCACUGAGCACUACAGAGAGGUGCUCAUUGCUAAGAAUAAUUGCUAUUUCACCUCUUGCCUGCCCUCCACCAGCUGCUUGGGGCCACCAUUUUAGACUUCAGCUUGAGCUGCAAAGAGUAAGUGACCUUGUUUUCCAGCGACCCUGUUUGAAGGAGCAGGAAGUGGAUUUUGCCUUCAGUUACCCCUUAAGGAGCUGCUAUGGGAGGAAAGGGCCUGUGUUUGCC
rnacentral:lncRNA from 1 species